rnacentral:antisense_RNA from 1 species
AGUGACGAGCGAUGAUUUUAAAGAGCAGAAUAAAAGGCUUUCCCGUGCCUGCCCCACAGCCCCUCCAGCUCGAAUAAUGGAGAACUGUCAAUGCACUCCGCGAGCGGUGGCCCAUUGUACGCAGCUGAUGGCGAGGAGGCGACUGGGGGUGGCAGGGGCUCCUUGCCCUCGCCCCUAUGCCCAAAUAAACGCUCAAACGCGCUCCCGUCUUCUGGUCAGUUAAAAGGUGAAACGAACACGAUUAAAAUAGACCAAAAGAAAAGAAAAGAAAACCUUUCUAUGUACAGAUUCUAAAUCGUACUCCCCAUACAGUCAGAGGCAGGGAGUCGAGGGCAGAGGCAGCAGGCGGAGAGAGGGAGAUAGGGCGAGGGAAGGAGAACGCGGAGAGAGACGAAGGGAGUGGGAGACCAGCGACAGCGAGCGCCAGGGCACCGCAGGCACACUGGAUGCCCGGUCCGCCGGCCCAGCCGCCCUCGGACCCUGGACCGUGCGUCGUGGGCACCAGAAACGAGACUCGGCCAAAUCCUGCCUCACCAGCAGGUAGAUGAAACUCAAGAGAAAAGGUGUGGAUAAAUGAAACUAGCUCAUGAUGAACCUGUUUUCUCCGUGACCACAAUAUUAACCAGGAUGAUGGCGAUACACUGCCUCUAGGACUGGGACAGAUAGCCACUGAGUACCUGCUUCAAAUCACCCUGCACGUUUUCUUGUUGGAAAGAUAACCACUGGAGAACCAUCUCAUUACCUUCAGCAAAAAUGGAAACAAAUCAAGACAUUAAGAAUGCCACAGUGGACAGCAGUUACGCAAGGUUCAGCAGAGGAAGUUUUCAAGAUGGUGUGCCUCGCUAGCCAGAAAUCAG